rnacentral:lncRNA from 1 species
GUCUCUGAAUAGGGAGGAUACAGGCAUGGAGCACAGGCAAAUGGUGAUUAUAAAGGUAAAAUGGAAACCCUCCAUAUUAGGAUGAGGUGUUUAUUUAUUAAUUUUUAUUUAUUAUUGGGGGGAGUAAUACAGGGUUUCUCUGUGUAACAGUCCUGGCUGUCCUUUGAAUUCUUCUUACAGACCAGGCUAUCCUCAAACUCACAGGAAUCCGACUGCCUCUGCCUCCUGAGUGCAGUGCUGGGAUUAAAGGUGUAUGCUACCACACAAGGUGAUUAAUUUUAGUUGGGCAUGUUAAUUUGGUGAGUCAAAGAGGACAUCUGAUUGCUAGACUUCAAUACUUUCAUAGGUGAACCUUGGUAGUCAGCUUUGGGAGGAGAAGUGGCCAAAUAAGGGAAUAGAUCUUGGGGACUGGCUUUAGGAAUGUGAUCUAAGAAUUUUUAGCAAGGCAGAGGGAAUAGGAGAGAAGGGAGAGGCCUGCUAGAGCUACAUUUGCCACACUAGAGCUUCGAGAGUCCUGUCAUCCCCUCCCACAAGGUGUAUUUGGUAAUGGGGAAUUAAGGAGACCUGUUUAUAUUCUAAAGAACACUGCUUAGUUAAAAGUUUUGUAAAUAGUUUUAUGCCAGGACAAAAUAAUACUCUUUACUUUUAACCUGUGCAAUCAUUUUUUAUUCAGACAUUAAGAUUUUAUAACUUUCAUUACUUCAAGGAAGGAAUAGCCCAGCUGAAUGUUAGAGGGAGAUGUCACCUUUUAAGUUCCAAAACACAGCCGUAUGUUGCCGAGAGCUUAGCUGUUCGACUCUUUGCCUUGUAAGCAUGAGGAACAAACUUUGAUCCCCAACACCCACAUAAAAGAGCUAGGUGUGUGGUUUGUGUUUGUAGUGCCAGCACCGGGCAAGGAGAUUCCUGGUACUUUCUGGCUAAAAGCCUAGCAUAUUUAGUAUACUUUAGGCCAGUGAGAAGCUGCCUCAAACAACAACAACAACAACACCACAUUGUAGUUGAUGCCCUACAGAGCAACCCCAGAAGCUGUCUUCUGGCCUUCACGUACAUAUGCAUGCAAGCAUGCACAACUCCAUGCAUGCACAAAAUGUAGUUAUUGAGAAGACUCCAAAUAAAACUAAUGAUUAAAAGCCAUGCACACUUGUAACUCGGUCCAUUUUGAAAAAUAUGAUAAUUUCUUUUUUAUCCUAUGCAUCAUAACUACUGGAUUACUUAACAUUUGACUAUUAAGGCUUUAACUGAAUAAAAGAAGCAUAAGCUAAAUCCAAGGGGAGUGGGAUAGUGAACCAUAUCCUAGAAAAUCCAAGAGUUCAAAGAGCUGAAUUCCCAGCUUAGGUUAAAGUCAGUGUGAAGUGGCCCCACAUUCCACUCCCAGAAGCCUGAACAGACAGUUGCUUUGGCAUUG